GAUGAACGCUGGCGGCGUGCCUAAUACAUGCAAGUCGAGCGAACGGACGAGAAGCUUGCUUCUCUGAUGUUAGCGGCGGACGGGUGAGUAACACGUGGAUAACCUACCUAUAAGACUGGGAUAACUUCGGGAAACCGGAGCUAAUACCGCAUAAUAUUUUGAACCGCAUGGUUCAAAAGUGAAAGACGGUCUUGCUGUCACUUAUAGAUGGAUCCGCGCUGCAUUAGCUAGUUGGUAAGGUAACGGCCUACCAAGGCAACGAUGCAUAGCCGACCUGAGAGGGUGAUCGGCCACACUGGAACUGAGACACGGUCCAGACUCCUACGGGAGGCAGCAGUAGGGAAUCUUCCGCAAUGGGCGAAAGCCUGACGGAGCAACGCCGCGUGAGUGAUGAAGGUCUUCGGAUCGUAAAACUCUGUUAUUAGGGAAGAACAUAUGUGUAAGUAACUGUGCACAUCUUGACGGUACCUAAUCAGAAAGCCACGGCUAACUACGU
rnacentral:rRNA from 1 species